rnacentral:rRNA from 1 species
CUCGCCUACACGAAGCUGGAAUCGCUAGUAAUCGCGGAUCAGCACGCCGCGGUGAAUACGUUCCCGGGCCUUGUACACACCGCCCGUCACACCAUGAGAGUCUGUAACACCCAAAGCCGGUGGGAUAACCUUUAUAGGAGUCAGCCGUCUAAGGUAGGACAGAUGAUUAGGGUGAAGUCGUAACAAGGUACC